CCUACGGGGGGCAGCAGUGAGGAAUAUUGGUCAAUGGGCGGGAGCCUGAACCAGCCAAGUCGCGUGAGGGAAGACGGUCCUAUGGAUUGUAAACCUCUUUAGGCGGGGAGCAAUGCCGGGCACGCGUGCCCGGAGGGAGAGUACCCGCAGAAUAAGCCUCGGCUAACUCCGUGCCAGCAGCCGCGGUAAUACGGAGGAUGCGAGCGUUAUCCGGUUUUAUUGGGUUUAAAGGGUGCGUAGGCGGAUUUUUAAGUCAGCGGUAAAAUGUCCGGGCUCAACCCGGGCCGGCCGUUGAAACUGGGGAGCUUGAGUGGGCGAGAAGUAGGCGGAAUGCGUGGUGUAGCGGUGAAAUGCAUAGAUAUCAUGCAGAACUCCGAUUGCGAAGGCAGCAUACCGGCGCCCGACUGACGCUGAGGCACGAAAGCGUGGGGAUCGAACAGGAUUAGAUACCCUGGUAGUC
rnacentral:rRNA from 1 species